rnacentral:rRNA from 1 species
UGUAGUCAAAGCUUGCUUUGUCUAUGUAUCUUUACAAACAACCAUUGAUGUAUUUGAAUGACAUAUUAAUAUUGUAAAACAACUUUCAACAAUGGAUCUCUUGGUUCUCGCAUCGAUGAAGAACGCAGCGAAUUGCGAUAUGUAAUGUGAAUUGCAGAAUUCAGUGAAUCAUCGAAUCUUUGAACGCACAUUGCACCCUCUGGUAUUCUGGAGGGUAUGCCUGUUUGAGUGUCAUUAAUCUCUCAACACAGACAGGUUUUGUUACCUGUUCUGUUGUUUGGAUUUUGAAGGCUUUGCUGGCAGUCUGACUGUCAGCUCCUUUUAAAUGCAUUAGCAGAAAUCAUGCAGAACUGGCUUCAGUUUGAUAAAGAUUUAUCUAUGUUGCUGUCGCCAGGAUAAUGCUAGUAUUUUUCAGCUUCUAAUAGUCCUUUCAGGACUGUCUCACUUGAGGCAUACAAACUUGACACUUGACCUCAAAUCAGGUAGGACUACCCGCUGAACUUAAGCAUAUCAAUAAGCGGAGGAAAAGAAACUAACAAGGAUUCCCCCAGUAACUGCGAGUGAAGAGGGAAGAGCUCA